CAUCAUAUCCACCUGCAUCAAAAGUACUCAUAUAGUCUCUGUAAUGGCCAUCAUGGCUUGGAUAUCUCCUUCUGAUUUCCUAAUUUUACAAAUGCAUUAUGUCCCGUCUGUCAUCCCAUGCUGUCCUAGCCUCUUUCAACUAAAGGCAACCCUCAUCCCACCAUACUCCUAGCUUAUUCAAAAGGCUCCAAAAUUUCUUACAUAGCUGGUAUCUCUUCUGAUCAUUGGCAGGAUGAGGAUCACAUGAUCCACGGAGGAAACUAUUAGACUGAAUGACACAAGGGGAGCAAUAGCAUGACUCACAGUAGUUCAACCCUCGAAGAAUAGGCGGGUUCUCUCCCUCAUAUCCUCUGAUCUCAUUUCUAGUGCCUAUAAUUUAUAUAAUUUAUUUGUAUAGGCCACUCAGUGUUAAUCAGUGUGAUUUAAUUAGCUUAAAAUAGCUACGAACUGCUCUCUCCUCUAUUUCAGAAUCUUCACUUCCUUCAUUGAUCUUCUUGCACAUUAGCUGCGCUUUACUUUCACCCUGCUCUCUUCUGACCAUCUCCCUCACUUCCGUUAUCAAUGACUGUCUUGGCACAGUGUCAUAUUCUAUUGUUAUCUACUUUUUUAUUUUGGUUAAAAGUUAGUAAAACUGUCUGUACCCU